UACGUAGGUGGCGAGCGUUAUCCGGAAUUAUUGGGCGUAAAGAGCGCGCAGGUGGUUGAUUAAGUCUGAUGUGAAAGCCCACGGCUUAACCGUGGAGGGUCAUUGGAAACUGGUCAACUUGAGUGCAGAAGAGGGAAGUGGAAUUCCAUGUGUAGCGGUGAAAUGCGUAGAGAUAAUGGAGGAACACCAGUGGCGAAGGCGGCUUCCUGGUCUGUAACUGACACUGAGGCGCGAAAGCGUGGGGGAGCAAACAGG
rnacentral:rRNA from 1 species